AUUGAACGCUGGCGGCAUGCCUAACACAUGCAAGUCGAACGGAAACGAUGCUAGCUUGCUAGCAGGCGUCGAGUGGCGGACGGGUGAGUAAUGUAUAGGGAUCUGCCUAGUAGUGGGGGACAACAUGUGGAAACGCAUGCUAAUACCGCAUACGCUCUACGGAGGAAAGUGGGGGACCUUUCGGGGCCUCAUGCUACUAGAUGAACCUAUAUUGGAUUAGCUUGUUGGUAAGGUAAUGGCUUACCAAGGCGACGAUCCAUAGCUGGUUUGAGAGAAUGAUCAGCCACACUGGGACUGAGACACGGCCCAGACUCCUACGGGAGGCAGCAGUGGGGAAUAUUGCACAAUGGACGAAAGUCUGAUGCAGCAAUGCCGCGUGUGUGAAGAAGGCCUUAGGGUUGUAAAGCACUUUCAGACGUGAGGAAAAGUAAUAAUUUAAUAAAUUAUUACCUUGACGUUAACGUCAGAAGAAGGACCGGCUAACUCCGUGCCAGCAGCCGCGGUAAUACGGAGGGUCCAAGCGUUAAUCGGAAUUACUGGGCGUAAAGCGCGCGUAGGCGGAUAUUUAAGUCAGAUGUGAAAUCCCUGGGCUCAACCUAGGAACUGCAUUUGAUACUGGAUAUCUAGAGUAUGGUAGAGGUGAGUGGAAUUUCAGGUGUAGCGGUGAAAUGCGUAGAGAUCUGAAGGAACAUCAGUGGCGAAGGCGACUCACUGGGCCAUUACUGACGCUGAGGUGCGAAAGCGUGGGUAGCAAACAGGAUUAGAUACCCUGGUAGUCCACGCCCUAAACGAUGUCAACUAGGUGUAUGGGAGUUUAACUCCUGUGUAUCGAAGCUAACGCGAUAAG
rnacentral:rRNA from 1 species